UUUCGUUUUUUUUUUGUUGUUGUUGUUUUUUUUUUUUGCUUCUCCUUCUCAGCAGGAGACGGUCCCUGUUUUAAAUUCACGAUCGAACAUUCAACUAAUUCAGUUAGUCGAUUUUCGACGAAAGGAACUGCAUUAAUCGUGACGUAACGUAGAUGGGUUUUAUUGAUAGAAAAAACUAAAAUGGGCAACACUUCUUUUCCAUCAAAACACCGAAGACAAAUUUCUCUAUUAAAUAAUUUCUGUGUUGUUUCAAUUUUUCAUCCUAGGGUGUAGAUGAGACCUUCAUCCAGUACGUACAUCCAUUGGAACACCGGAAGAUGAACCUUGUGUGCUGAAAUCAGCUUAAAGAAAAAUACAUUGCCUGUGACGUGGAUUGGGAUUAAGCCAUUUGAUGUACAAGAUCGACCAUUAUGUUGAAGUACGUCACAACAGGAAAGGCUUCCAUUUCAUUUACGAAAGAAAACAUUUAGGAAGAGCUGAUGAAGCAUGAAUAGCAGAUUGACAACUCAUUGUCAUGUACUUUCCAACAACAGCAUUACAGGCAAUGAAACAUUUGACAUCAAAGCCAUCAGAAUCAUGCAUGGUUUGAAGCAAUUAGGCAACGUCUAAUUUAUAUGAAAAAAAGGAAAAGGGGUAACAAAAGAAAAGUAUUUAAAGCCGUCUGACCGUUAUUUUGGAACAUGCUGAAUCUCGAUGGUGUCUUUUUGAAAGACGUGGAUCGCUUUGUCCUGACCCUGUUUACAGAUGUGAUGGAGUUCCCGAUUGUGGACGAGUUCGUGAUCCAAACUUCAUGAGUGGCUUAUGUAUGCUUACAUAUGGUUUUGUGUGGAAUCCUUGGGUGUUCCGUAGUUGCUGAAUCAGGAAAUUUAUGUGUGGCAGUUUUGUUAGCUGCUUCCAUGCUACAUCUUUGGGUGAUUUAUUGCUAUGAUGCACUCUUUCUACGGCUCUGC